GAUGAACGCUGGCGGCGUGCUUAACACAUGCAAGUCGAACGGAAAGGCCCAAGCUUGCUUGGGUACUCGAGUGGCGAACGGGUGAGUAACACGUGGGUGAUCUGCCCUUCACUUCGGGAUAAGCCUUGGAAACUGGGUCUAAUACCGGAUAGGACCACAUUUUGGAUGGUGUGGUGGAAAGUUUUUCGGUGUGGGAUUAGCUCGCGGCCUAUAAGCUUGUUGGUGGGGUAAUGGCCUACCAAGGCGUCGACGGGGAGCCGGCCUGAGAGGGUGUACGGCCACAUUGGGACUGAGAGACGGGCCAGACACCUAGGGGAGGCAGAAGUGGGGAAUAUUGCACAAAGGGGGCAAGCCUGAUGCAGCGACGCCGCGUGGGGGAUGACGGCCUUCGGGUUGUAAACUCCUUUCGCUAGGGACGAAGCGUUUUUGUGACGGUACCUGGAGAAGAAGCACCGGCUAACUACGUG
rnacentral:rRNA from 1 species